GGAGGCGUGGCAGAGCGGCCGAUUGCAGCGGUUUUGAAAACCGCCAGGGGGCAACUCCUCGAGGGUUCGAAUCCUUCCGCCUCCGCCA
rnacentral:tRNA from 1 species